AAUAGCAAUGUAGAUUAUAAAAACUUUUUUGAGCAUCACAUCCGCAAACGACGUUAGCAAACAGGCAAGGCAAACACUUCACAAAAAGAACACAAAAUGCACAGGCACAAUGCUACCGUCAGACACACUAAACUAUGUACAUCAAUUCUACAACUAGAUGGUAUACUAUUUGGUGGAACCACACAAGCAGGACCUUCGCAUCGUUAAAACGUGCGAUACGCGAACUCAUCAAGAGCUGCUAAAAAGCGAUGAUGCCGCAAAGAAGACAAAGCGAAGGAAAAAAGCAAAGAAAGACAACAUUGAACAUUGAUUAUCACUCAGGUGGACUGAAGGAAGUGCAGUGAAUAACUAUGAAGUUUCAUUUGAAGUUCGACCAACGGCCAUUAGAAGGUGAUGGACAUGUUUGUACCGGUACAUUGGAAUCUUCGGACCAUUUGCUCCUCCGCCCAGCCAACUGCACUUGCAAAGGAAGGGAGCGCUAAACAGCUUCAACACAGCUUCGUGCAUUCGAUUGUCUG